rnacentral:rRNA from 1 species
UGGGGGAUAUUGCACAAUGGGCGAAAGCUUGAUGCAGCGACGCCGCGUGGGGGAUGAAGGCCUUCGGGUUGUAAACUUCUUUUGCUCUGAACAAGGCAUGCUAAUGGGUGUGUUGAGUGUAGGGGUUGAUUAGCGCCGGCUAACUACGUGCCAGCAGCCGCGGUAAUACGUAGGGCGCGAGCGUUGUCCGGAAUUAUUGGGCGUAAAGGGCUUGUAGGUGGCUGGUUGCGUCUGUCGUGAAAGCUCAUGGCUUAACUGUGGGUUUGCGGUGGGUACGGGCUGGCUUGAGUGCAGUAGGGGAGGCUGGAAUUCCUGGUGUAGCGGUGGAAUGCGCAGAUAUCAGGAGGAAUACCGGUGGCGAAGGAGGGUCUCUGGGCUGUUACUGACACUGAGGAGCGAAAGCAUGGGGAGCGAACAGG